rnacentral:rRNA from 3 species
GAUGAAGAACGCAGCGAAAUGCGAUAAGUAAUGUGAAUUGCAGAAUUCAGUGAAUCAUCGAAUCUUUGAACGCACCUUGCGCUCCUUGGUAUUCCGAGGAGCAUGCCUGUUUGAGUGUCAUUAAAUUCUCAACCUCACCAGUUUUGUAAUGAGACUGUGUA